AGAGAACGAGCAACAUGAAUGGGAUGACGAAGACUGUCAAAAGAAGUAUCCUUUCAUCUGCCAUCAAGUUUCAAGACUGAGGAGAGUGGUGAGGGUGAAACUUCGGACUGAUGCCGACAUCUCCGAUCCAGCUAUUAGCACCCAGAUCCUCCAGAAGCUCAGUGCAGCGCUGGCAAGUCAGGGAUGGACUGACGUCAAUCUGAAAU